rnacentral:rRNA from 1 species
GAUGAACGCUGGCGGCGUGCCUAAUACAUGCAAGUCGAGCGAACAGACGAUGAGCUUGCUCCUCUGACGUUAGCGGCGGACGGGUGAGUAACACGUGGAUCACCUACCUAUAAUACUGGGAUCACUUCGGGACACCGGAGCUAAUACCGGAUAAUAUAUUGCACCGCAUUGUUCAAUAGUGAAAGACGGCUUUUCUGUCACUUAUAGAUGGAUCCCCGCCGCUUUAGCUAGUUGGUAAGGUAACGGCUUACCAAGGCAAUGAUGCGUAGCCGACGUGGGAGGAUGGUAGGCGACACGGGAACGGGACAACGCACAGGAGUACUAAGGGAGGGAGCAGUAGGGAAUGGUCGGCAGGGGGCGAAAGCAGGGCGGAGCAGGGCGAAGGGAGUGAGAAAGGACUUCGGAUCGGAAAACUGUGUUAUUGGGGAUAAACAGAUGUGUAAGGAAAUGUACACGGAGUGACGGUACCUAAUAAAAAAGCAACGGCUAACUACGUG